UGAGUGUCAAUAUUAGGGAAUUGGGACAC
rnacentral:piRNA from 1 species